rnacentral:lncRNA from 1 species
CCCCGUGCUAAGGCCUUCUGAACCCAACUUUGCCUCUGCAAAUUGAGUCGCCUUAGUUCCUCCAUCAAAUGCUCCUCCGAGAUAAAGUGCAUGUGCCCAAAAGCUCCCUUCGUCUUUGGCACCAUGCAAGAUGAGUCCGCUCCGUCAGAAUGAAUGACCCAUGGAACAACAUGAUCCUACUCUUGCCUCUGCAAGAGUUCAUGUCCUUGACCUCUGUCCAAGGAAAGC